ensembl:antisense Gm12120 predicted gene 12120
UCUGCCGAUGAAGGGCUAAGCUAGUUUGACCACGGGUGGACCUGAGCCAAGUCCAGACCCUUGACAUACAGCCAGCCUCCUCUGAGUAUGCGGGUUCAUGCACUGAACUCCAAAGCAUAUGUCUGAGAAGAGUAAAAAGUACACCUCUCUGUGGGUAGACAUGGAAGCCUCAUACACAAGGUAGCUUUAUCUGUGGAUGUCCAAAAUUUGUACAGCCUGAUGCUGUCUCUGCUAAGGUGAAUGGGCAGAGAAAUCGUGGUGUGUCCACGCAACAGGACACUGAAGGAAGCAGCCACAUGAAAGACGGAUCCCAGAACAUGUCAGAGAGUUGGCUGGCCAGAGGGUUCACGCCCAGCAACUGAGGCACAUAAUAUCCAGAGAUCACCAAGUUCUACUGCACAAGAGCAGAGGGGCAUUUAUUUACCUGAGGUGGGGCAGGAGGGUGAGAGGGUAGAGAGGGGGGAGAAAGGGGCAGGAAGAGACUUUUAAAAGGAAUAUUUCUGUUUGUUUUUAAAAUCUUGGCUUUUUUCUUAGUCAUGUGCCUGUAUAUGUCUGGGGGUAUUUGCACCGGUGCACACGUGUGUGGGUGU